rnacentral:rRNA from 1 species
AUUGAACGCUGGCGGCAGGCUUAACACAUGCAAGUCGAGCGGGGAAUGGUAGCUUGCUACCUGACCUAGCGGCGGACGGGUGAGUAAUGCUUAGGAAUCUGCCUAUUAGUGGGGGACAACAUUCCGAAAGGAAUGCUAAUACCGCAUACGCCCUACGGGGGAAAGCAGGGGAUCUUCGGACCUUGCGCUAAUAGAUGAGCCUAGGUCAGAUUAGCUAGUUGGUGGGGUAAAGGCCUACCAAGGCGACGAUCUGUAGCGGGUCUGAGAGGAUGAUCCGCCACACUGGGACUGAGACACGGCCCAGACUCCUACGGGAGGCAGCAGUGGGGAAUAUUGGACAAUGGGCGCAAGCCUGAUCCAGCCAUGCCGCGUGUGUGAAGAAGGCCUUUUGGUUGUAAAGCACUUUAAGCGAGGAGGAGGCUACUGAGAUUAAUACUCUUGGAUAGUGGACGUUACUCGCAGAAUAAGCACCGGCUAACUCUGUGCCAGCAGCCGCGGUAAUACAGAGGGUGCGAGCGUUAAUCGGAUUUACUGGGCGUAAAGCGUGCGUAGGCGGCUUUUUAAGUCGGAUGUGAAAUCCCUGAGCUUAACUUAGGAAUUGCAUUCGAUACUGGGAAGCUAGAGUAUGGGAGAGGAUGGUAGAAUUCCAGGUGUAGCGGUGAAAUGCGUAGAGAUCUGGAGGAAUACCGAUGGCGAAGGCAGCCAUCUGGCCUAAUACUGACGCUGAGGUACGAAAGCAUGGGGAGCAAACAGGAUUAGAUACCCUGGUAGUCCAUGCCGUAAACGAUGUCUACUAGCCGUUGGGGCCUUUGAGGCUUUAGUGGCGCAGCUAACGCGAUAAGUAGACCGCCUGGGGAGUACGGUCGCAAGACUAAAACUCAAAUGAAUUGACGGGGGCCCGCACAAGCGGUGGAGCAUGUGGUUUAAUUCGAUGCAACGCGAAGAACCUUACCUGGUCUUGACAUAGUAAGAACUUUCCAGAGAUGGAUUGGUGCCUUCGGGAACUUACAUACAGGUGCUGCAUGGCUGUCGUCAGCUCGUGUCGUGAGAUGUUGGGUUAAGUCCCGCAACGAGCGCAACCCUUUUCCUUAUUUGCCAGCGGGUUAAGCCGGGAACUUUAAGGAUACUGCCAGUGACAAACUGGAGGAAGGCGGGGACGACGUCAAGUCAUCAUGGCCCUUACGACCAGGGCUACACACGUGCUACAAUGGUCGGUACAAAGGGUUGCUACCUAGCGAUAGGAUGCUAAUCUCAAAAAGCCGAUCGUAGUCCGGAUUGGAGUCUGCAACUCGACUCCAUGAAGUCGGAAUCGCUAGUAAUCGCGGAUCAGAAUGCCGCGGUGAAUACGUUCCCGGGCCU